UGAGUUUACACCAACCGCGUUUUGGGCGUCAAAAUCGUGUCUACCGCGCCUAGUUUGCCGCUUGAACACUUUGAAUGCAUUCGCGCGUGUAGAGCGGAGUAGACGCGCGGAAAAAGCAAGCAUUUGACGCGCUUCAGAGGCAAACUCUGCUUCUUGUGGGAGGGGCAAGUGCUAUGCGGUUGUCUGUUUGCAAGAUGACUGAUGUUGAUUGUGCAUUUAUCCAGAGAGUUACCGGUUUGUAUGUGGUAACCUUACUAUAGGGGGAAAUAAACAGCGCACGUCGAUAAACGUCACGUGACUCAAAAGUGAAAUGUGUAUUACAGCUUACCAGCGAGGUCCUUUUUAUUCCUGUCUCAUCUAUAGAAAUAAGAACUUGUGUCGUAUAGCUCCGGGUGACUGCUUAUGGACAAUAACAAGCGUUGGUUGAAUGAGUGACUCCGGGCGGGGCUGCCACCACAGCAGCAAGCAGGCUCCUGAUUGGUUAACGCGGCGCGAAAUUCCGCCAAAGUUCAAAUUUUUCAACUCGGGCGUUAGCCGCAAAUUCGCGUGAACCGCAAAAUGCACAAAAA